ensembl:lincRNA Gm44081 predicted gene, 44081
ACAUCCACAAGAGGCGCGGCGCCUCCUGGGUCGUGUGGCCAGUCUCCGGUUCGCUUUGGAAGGCUCUGCUAAGGAAAUGGUCAGGUUGCCAAAGGACCGGUCAUCUCUCAUCCUCCCUCCGGUCGAUCGGCGCCUCGGGUCUGCUGGACGGAGCCUGGAGCCUGGAGCCAGGUGACUCUGACUGCUCUCUGUGGCCGCUGGGAGCAGGAACCCAGGAAACGGCCAUUCUAGCCAUGAGGAGAAUUUUUAAACCACACAUGCAUGUCAGAGACGCAUACAGCGCGCUGAGCCAUGGGAAUGUCCCAAGAAGCCAUGAGACAAUAAAGCGAGAUGUGUCAGAGAAUGCCUGUUGAACAGCAAGGGCUGGGUUUCUUUCUCAGAAGAAAGGUGAUUUAGAGUCUGGCCCAGCCACAUCCCAGCUGUGUGGCCUCCAUGUCGUCUCAGAACUUCAGUGUUCUCGCCUAUCAAAUGACAGUUCCACGGAGACCCCACCAAGGGGCCAAGCAUCAGAGCUGUGGCGUUCACAGACACUGGGGACAAAAGCAGGUCAAAAAGGAAGAAGAAAAGAGGGGAGAGAAGGGAAGACUCGGACAGCCACAAAGUUGUCACCGAUGGAGGAACCUAUAUUGUCUCAAAUCCUCUGUUCCUGG